rnacentral:rRNA from 1 species
CCUACGGGAGGCAGCAGUGGGGAAUAUUGGACAAUGGGCGAAAGCCUGAUCCAGCAAUUCCGCGUGUGUGAAGAAGGCCUUCGGGUUGUAAAGCACUUUAGUGGGGGAAGAAACAGCUUGGCCACACCAAGCCUUGACGGUACCCCAAGAAUAAGCACCGGCUAACUCUGUGCCAGCAGCCGCGGUAAUACAGAGGGUGCAAGCGUUAAUCGGAUUUACUGGGCGUAAAGGGUGCGUAGGUGGCUAUUUAAGUCGGAUGUGAAAGCCCGGGGCUCAACCUCGGAAUUGCAUUCGAUACUGAGUGGCUAGAGUUCGGUAGAGGGCGGCGGAAUUUCCGGUGUAGCGGUGAAAUGCGUAGAUAUCGGAAGGAACAUCAAUGGCGAAGGCAGCCGCCUGGGCCUGGACUGACACUGAGGCACGAAAGCGUGGGUAGCAAACAGGAUUAGAUACCCUGGUAGUCCACGCCGUAAACGAUGAGAACUUGACGUUGGUUCGUUUUACGAAUCGGUGUCGCAGCUAACGCGAUAAGUUCUCCGCCUGGGGAGUACGGCCGCAAGGUUGAAACUCAAAGGAAUUGACGGCUGAGAGNGCGAGACGACGACGAGGAGGAGG